rnacentral:rRNA from 1 species
UACGUAGGGGGCAAGCGUUGUCCGGAAUGAUUGGGCGUAAAGCGUCCGCAGGUGGCAGUUCAAGUCUGCUGUCAAAGACCGGGGCUUAACUUCGGAAAGGCAGUGGAAACUGAACAGCUAGAGUAUGGUAGGGGCAGAGGGAAUUCCUGGUGUAGCGGUGAAAUGCGUAGAGAUCAGGAAGAACAUCGGUGGCGAAGGCGCUCUGCUGGACCAUAACUGACACUCAGGGACGAAAGCUAGGGGAGCGAAUGGG